GAUUGAACGCUGGCGGCAGGCCUAACACAUGCAAGUCGUGCGGAUGAAGGGAGCUUGCUCCUGGAUUCAGCGGCGGACGGGUGAGUAAUGCCUAGGAAUCUGCCUGGUAGUGGGGGAUAACGUCCGGAAACGGGCGCUAAUACCGCAUACGUCCUGAGGGAGAAAGUGGGGGAUCUUCGGACCUCACGCUAUCAGAUGAGCCUAGGUCGGAUUAGCUAGUUGGUGGGGUAAAGGCCUACCAAGGCGACGAUCCGUAACUGGUCUGAGAGGAUGAUCAGUCACACUGGAACUGAGACACGGUCCAGACUCCUACGGGAGGCAGCAGUGGGGAAUAUUGGACAAUGGGCGAAAGCCUGAUCCAGCCAUGCCGCGUGUGUGAAGAAGGUCUUCGGAUUGUAAAGCACUUUAAGUUGGGAGGAAGGGCAGUAAGUUAAUACCUUGCUGUUUUGACGUUACCAACAGAAUAAGCACCGGCUAACUUCGUG
rnacentral:rRNA from 1 species